CAAUGGGGGCAAGCCUGAUGCAGCCAUGCCGCGUGUGUGAAGAAGGCCUUCGGGUUGUAAAGCACUUUCAGUGGUGAGGAAAGGGUAAUAGUUAAUAGCGAUCACAGUUGACAAUAGCCACAGAAGAAGCACCGGCUAACUCCGUGCCAGCAGCCGCGGUAAUACGGAGGGUGCAAGCGUUAAUCGGAAUUACUGGGCGUAAAGCGUACGUAGGCGGUGUGUUAAGCUAGAUGUGAAAGCCCCGGGCUCAACCUGGGAAUAGCAUUUAGAACUGGCACGCUAGAGUCCUGAAGAGGGUGGUAGAAUUUCCAGUGUAGCGGUGAAAUGCGUAGAUAUUGGAAGGAAUACCGGUGGCGAAGGCGGCCACCUGGUCAGAGACUGACGCUGAGGUACGAAAGCGUGGGGAGCAAACAGUAUUAGAUACCCUGGUAGUCCACGCCGUAAACGAUGUCAACUAGUUGUUCGUGUCAUUAAGACGUGAGUAACGCAGCUAACGCACUAAGUUGACCGCCUGG
rnacentral:rRNA from 1 species